UCAUCAUUAUCUAUUUUGAAGUUUCGUGUCGGUUGGUGUCGGUGCACGUUGGCGUGCAACCUGGGCUGCGUGACAUUCUGCGUCAGUGUAUAGCGCUGGAGCCAAAACGAGGGAAACGAACUCCCAGGACAGCAACAAUUCGCAGACAGCAUAAUCCGAAACUAUACGCACGGGACGCCGCGCACAUGCAAAAGCGCGGGGAAAAGGCAGAGUUGUCAAGAUGUCGUUUGCAAUAGUGGAAUUCAUCGAAGCUGUGGAAGUUGAAGUGGUUCCUUCGACGUGGAUAGAAGGAGAUUUGUGUGCCUGGCCGAGUGGAAAGCGUGACAAAAUUACAAGACUGGUGAAGAGCUCUGCGACAGCACAGCGAGACUGGAAGCAGCACACUGUCAAAGUGAUGGGUGUCUUUUCAUCCUACGAGGCUGCUAGAAAACGGCUCGAGAGAUCACAGUUUACGUCCGACCUCGGCUCCACAGAUGAAGAACCACAGAGGCGUCGUGUACAAAGACCCCGACGCUACUUAUCUGGAUCUGAUUCUGAAGACUCUAUCACGUGACAGCUCCAGUAAGAGGUCUAGGAUGUCGGCAGCAUCUUCCUCUGAUCGCUACCCAACAGCACCACAAGGCUUCCCUUCACCUACAGUGUCAGAUGCCCUCCUAGACACAGAAGGCAUGACGCCAGUGCACAAUCAGCAGCACAGCCCAGAGCAUAUUCAAGGGCAAAACCAACUGCUGAGCCAGAGACACAACGAGCAUUCAGGUCAGGCACACAGCCAACAUCUGGGCCGGGCUAGGAGUCCACAGCUGGAAAGGGCACAAAGCCAACUGCAGAAUCACACACGGAACCGAGUAUUUAGUGCUGCGGGAGGUUCCAGCACAACAGCACAAGCGGAAGCAACAUCUGCCAAGAAGGGUGGCAUUCCUCAAAAUGAGUUUCAAAAGCAAGUCCUGCGGCAGCUCCAUAUAAUCAGACUGAUGAUCGAACAGCAGCAAGAUGUCCUCAACAACUUGCCAGCCAUACAGAAAGAGUGUGUAGCACCAUGUGCAGUUUUGCAAGAACCAAUUGACAAUCUGGAAGAUUUCAAACAUUUUGAUGAAACUGUAGAAGAAGUUAAGGGCCAACUGCUUUCGGAACUCAAAGGUCUUGGCGGGAAGAAUGUGACCAUCGCAACAAAGAAGAUACUGACCUACAUUAUGACAGACAACGUUGCACAGCAUUACAGUUGGGUUGGAAACAAGGGGAAGGAGAAGUUUUGCAAUGUCAAUGUGAGGCCACUUAUAGUUGGUAUGUACUUUUCCAGCUUGAGAGAGUUCUUGUAAAAUUUCUGUGGUGGGUUAGGUAGCGAUCAUCCGAAAUCUGAGAUCUGAUUGAGUGCAGCUUUAGGUUGCUGUCUCUCACCCAUUUCUUACAAGCAGAACAGAGCUUCAAUAUGUGAAGAGGAACAUGCAUGAUAGCAGCGUUUUUAACUCCUUCACAAGUUCCCCCACCCUCAUAUGAUAAAGACCUCGUCACACUGGCAAACACAAGAACAGGGGAUAAAAAACACGUCGGUGCAGAUGGUUUGCUUUUGUUCUAGGUCACACCGCACAUGGAAAACGAGAAACGCCGAUAAACAGCAGUGCUGGUGAACAUUGUUUCUCAAAACACUUCAUAUUCUGCUGGUGCUCUUCAACUUAUCCACAUCACACGAAAAUGAAGAAAACAUGCUAGGGUAACAAUCCAUCUUGGAGGUCAUUCUGACGAUACUGAUGUGCCAUGUGGCUGAUGGUUCCAUGGGCAACGGCAAGGGUCACACUUUAGCAACACCUGCGCUCUACUACACUGCUGUACGAAGCAGAAAAAGUUGUACGGCACGAUGAUGAACAUGUCCGUUGUUGAAACCCCAUCUGGCGCAGCAUGCUAUGAGAACGUAAAGUCUGUGUUCAACAUUCCAAACGUACAGGAUUUCACAAAUAAUAUGAAUUAACACGGUCUCUCCUGCAAACAACAGUUGACACUACCAUGCAUGUGCCACGUGAUUCGCUGUGAUUGUUGCCGCUAAUACUUCCAGCAGCGGUGUCUUCCAUUAGAUCGAGAUCUUCUUAGAUUAGAAAUCGAGAGAUGUCCAGAACAUAGCUUUUUGUUUGGCGAACAUGUUCUUUAUGCAUGUUUGCGUAAUUUCAUUUCCAUUUCGGUCACACUAACAAAACAUUUGUUGCCAUCCGAUAUCUUUGUUUGCUUAUGCACUGCGGGAUGAUGUUUGCCGAAAGUAUUCUGCUGGAAACUUUGUUCGAUCUCGUCUUUUGAUCAUGCAUUCUUGUUUCUUCAUGUUGUGUUCGCCUAGUGUGAAGCGGGCUCAAGAGCCAACAUGGUUGGAACAUGAUAUGAACAUCUUUCGAUGCAGCUAGGUCAAACAAGUCAUUUGUUGCAACAGUUGACGAAACCGAGGCCGUUAUAAAAAAGUGGCUGCAGCAUGCUCGCGAC